GAGCAACAGCGCCAGAUGCAACGUACUACCAGCACGCCAAAGCAUCUCAGUGCAUUCAUUCCUCUGCCGACUGGCCUUUUUCACCAUCACCGAUUCCUCUCAUCAAUUCAUAGGAAGCUACAGUCCUUCAGCAGCCUGCUGGCCGUGAUCUGAGCUAGGAACAGCAGAAAAGCUGGGGGUUCUUCUCUGUUCCCUGCAUUCCAGGCCUUGGCCAUGAGCUCAGCUCAAG
rnacentral:lncRNA from 1 species